rnacentral:rRNA from 1 species
UACGUAGGGUGCAAGCGUUGUCCGGAAUUAUUGGGCGUAAAGAGCUCGUAGGCGGUUUGUCGCGUCUGCUGUGAAAACCCGAGGCUCAACCUCGGGCCUGCAGUGGGUACGGGCAGACUAGAGUGCGGUAGGGGAGACUGGAAUUCCUGGUGUAGCGGUGAAAUGCGCAGAUAUCAGGAGGAACACCGGUGGCGAAGGCGGGUCUCUGGGCCGUAACUGACGCUGAGGAGCGAAAGCAUGGGUAGCGAACAGG